UACGUAGGGUGCGAGCGUUAAUCGGAAUUACUGGGCGUAAAGCGUGCGCAGGCGGUUCGCUGUGUCCGAUGUGAAAGCCCCGGGCUUAACCUGGGAAUGGCAUUGGAAACUGGCGGGCUUGAGUGCGGCAGAGGAGUGUGGAAUUCCGCGUGUAGCAGUGAAAUGCGUAGAGAUGCGGAGGAACACCGAUGGCGAAGGCAGCCCCCUGGGUCGACACUGACGCUCAGGCACGAAAGCGUGGGGAGCAAACAGG
rnacentral:rRNA from 1 species